UUAGUCCUCCACGUUGUGCCAUACUCCACCAGAAGAGAGAUGGGAAACGGGAAGAUAGGAAGAGAGCGAUUCAAGGAGAAAGAGUUAAAGAGAUGAGAAAGUGACAAGGGAGGGUCCGGCCACGGUUGUUCCGCGACGGCGCCAUGGAGGGAACGCCAUUGUACAAUGAUGGUGACGACGUUCGACGGUGUAAUAGGUCACUGGUCUUCGUCAAAACAGUACCCAAGGUGGAUGGGAAGCACCAUUGAUGGAUUCUAUGGCUGUAACCGCCUUCCAGAUUUGCUCAUCUAGGAUCCCAUGUUCUUCUGCACAUCCUCCUCAAUUCAAAUGGUAUACAUUUCAUUUCCGAUCAUCAAGUUCAGGCUUCAAUUAAGCAAACAAAUUGCAAAUAGUAUGAUUGUAUGAGUUCCGAUGCAGGUUAGAGAUAUGAUAAUCCCUAAUUUCUUAAUUUCAGUCUGUUUGAUGAAUAUUGCUCAAAUUAGUUUGAUGAAACGGAAGCAAUUAAAGAUCUUGAUGAGUUAUGUGUAGUCGAUAAUAAGUAUCUUAAUUCAAAUGUUGAGAAAUCACUUCUUGUAGAACGGUCUCAAAUCUCUUUACAAAGGUUUAUUCAUGAUGUUUAAGUUUAUAUUUCUUUGCCUUAAUAGAUAAUAAUUGUGACCCGUUUAACCCAUAAAAACGAGGUUGAUUUGGGUAGCAUUUUGCCUCAAAAUGGUCCAAAGUUGUGAGAAUAUAUUAAGAAUGCAUGAUACCUUAAUUCGUUUUGCAUCAAACAUAAACAUUGGAUUUUGUUUGUACGAAUAUGGUUCUUUAACUAAUGGUACUAAAAAAACAUGAAGUUUCUUAUUCGGUUCAAAUUCCAGUUUGCAUUCCAGUUCGAUUUUGAAAACGUCAACCCAAACAACCUAUGUGAACAACCCGAUGAACACCCCAGGGACCCGUUUAAAAUAAAACAAAACUCAAAUCAUCCUCUUUAUGAGCAAAUGGGCCGAAAUUACUUCGUCAUAUUUCGUUUAAUUUGAAGAUAGCAUCAAGCUUAACCUUUGUCAUAGAUUGACUUUAGCUAACCGUAGAUCACUAGCUCAAUGUACACCAUCUUAUCAAUCUUGUAGACGUGUAUAAUUGUUUUGUACUUAUUAUGAUUGAAGCGCGAGUGUUGCAAAAUAUGAUGAACCAGUACCAAAACGAAUCUUACGAGUUAUAUCAGGUCUGGUGAUGGCAAUUUUACAUUCUUGAAAUAAUCUCAAUGUAUGUUGACUUUAACAUAUUUGAUUUUGUCAUAAGGCAAAGACCUGUGCAUUUAUGUAUAUAUGUUUUUCAUUUGUGUUUCUAUAGGAAAUAUAACAAUAAUAUAUUCUGCAGAUUUAAUUUUACAAGUGAGGGAAAUUGUUCUACUUGAGACAAAAGAGGGGUAUUUUUAAGGGUUGGGCGAGCAAAUUAUUUCCUAGACCUGGCAAACGGGUUGGUUCGGGUCGGGUCGGGUCAUGGGUCAAAACGGGUUCGGGUCAAAACGGGUCGGGUCAAAACGGGUCAAUUACAAAAAAGGGUUGUUUUGGUUCGGGUCGGAACGGGUUCGGGUCGGAACGGGUUCGGGUCAGAACGGGUUCGGGUUGAAAUGGGUCCGGGUCAGAACGGGUUUCGGGUCGGAUCGGGUCGGAUUGGUUAAAAAUUGCUUUCUUUCACGUCUAAGCUAAGAGUAUUAUUUCAUUUGCCGUUCAAGUGAAAAAAGUAUUAUUUAUUUAUUUUAAGUAUUUAUAUGUAUUUCAAAUUCCAAGUUAGAAGUUAGAUAAAAAUCAAUAAGCAUAUAAACAUUUACUUGCAAUCCCAAACACUCGCAAGAGUGAUGUUGUACAUUGCCUUCACGAUCUUCUACAUCCAUAAAUAAGUUUGCAGAAUUUUCAUUUCGUGAUUUUCCAACACGAAUUGCUUGAUACACAAAUAAUUAAAAUUGCCUUCUUUGAUCUCUCAGUCGCCCUCUUUGUCUCCAUUACAGAAAGCUAGAGAGAAAUCUAAUUAACAAAAAUACAUACCUAUAUAAACUUAAGUUCGAUCAAUCUACAUGAUCUGCAUUAAUUCACAUAUACAUUAUCAGUUGAUGCUAAUAUCCACGCCAACAGCGAUGCAUUUACCAGCCUUUACUUAGCCAUUCAAUCCGAUUUGGAUCAAGCGCGGGAGAAAUCGGAGGUUGUUGCGGCCGAGAAAAACAGGGCGACAACGGUUGCUCUUAAUGCCGAAAUCCGACGGACUAAAGCUUGGGUCGAAACGGUUUGAUUGGAAACGGUUCGCAUCGAAACGCUACGGGUCGAAACGGACUAAAAUCUAGCGAAUCACUGGAGGUUUUUAAGACUAAAGUUCUAUCAAAGGUAGACUGAACCUUUGCGUUUUUUUUUUUUUUUUUUUUCUAAUAUAAGGUAGACAUCCAAAAUGGUAUCCACACUUAAACUAGGCAAACUUGGUGCACCAGGCAACUUCUUGAAUAUAGGGACUGACUUCAAGUAUUUAACAUUAUUCAAAUAAAUGUUAUAUUAUAAAUGUAAAAAUGAUUAUUUUUGGUCCACUCUACAAAUCUCAAGAAUGAUGUAUUAUGUACAUAUACUUUUAGUGAAU